rnacentral:rRNA from 1 species
GGGAAGAUUCUAUCGGUAUGGGAUGGGGUCGCGUCCUAUCAGGUAGUCGGCGGGGUAACGGCCCACCGAGCCUACGACGGGUAGCCGGCCUGAGAGGGCGACCGGCCACAUUGGGACUGAGAUACGGCCCAGACUCCUACGGGAGGCAGCAGUGGGGAAUAUUGCACAAUGGGCGCAAGCCUGAUGCAGCGACGCCGCGUGCGGGAUGACGGCCUUCGGGUUGUAAACCGCUUUUGAUCGGGAGCAAGCCUUCGGGUGAGUGUACCUUUCGAAUAAGCACCGGCUAACUGCGUGCCAGCAGCCGCGGUAAUACGUAGGGUGCAAGCGUUAUCCGGAAUUAUUGGGCGUAAAGGGCUCGUAGGCGGUUCGUCGCGUCCGGUGUGAAAGUCCAUCGCUUAACGGUGGAUCUGCGCCGGGUACGGGCGGGCUUGAGUGCGGUAGGGGAGACUGGAAUUCCCGGUGUAACGGUGG